ensembl:lncRNA
UUUUCCUGUGGAGAUGUGCAAUUCGAGGGGGAUCAGUCCGAGAAUUCCAAAGCUCCUCUGCAUGAUGCUUCUCUUAUAGAGUCCGUCUCAGACGAGCGUCCUGAGCUACCUGAUGAACUGAAUGACUACGCCUUGUCUUGGCUGUUUUCUCCCAAACUCACCGACGUGGUUGGAAAAGUCACUGCGCGUGAGGACCCGAGUCUUACGCCGGAGGACCUCCUGGAGACCUCCAAUGCCUUCAGUGCUCAGCUUAUAAGCCUGAGUCCUCCGCUCUCCCCAUCGAAACCCCCCGACAGGCAUUCCGAGACUAACACGGGGGGCCCGUUUUUGUUGGUAGACCUCCUCUCAAAUGGACUCUCUUGCCUCCCCCCAGAGUCCUCGGGUGAGUUGAACCCACAGGGUGUCAGUGAGGAGCUGGUAGACCUGUCACAAGAGGAGGGGGAGGAGGGGGAGGAGGAGGCAGGUCUCUCCCCCUCACAAAGAAAGGAGACUUUGUCACAUGAAACCAGAGACAAAGGUUCAUUCCCCGAUCAAGUGACCGAUCUGCCUUUAACCUGCAGCCGUAGUCAGCAAGGUUUACCGGAGAACCACCUCCCACCUGACAAAGUCCACACGCCGCCGCGCCGCUUGGAAGGAUCUGUGUCUUUGUUGGACUUAAAGGUUCCGGACUGUGACAGCAGUCUGAGCCUGCGUCCCGCCAGUCCUCCCGCUCUUAUCCGCACAGGUGUGGCGUUGGAUUUAUCAACAGAGGAGUGCGAAGGGGGACACGGGGGAGCUGCCGUGAAUAGAAGUGUGACCUCAGAGCGACGGGGGGAGAAUGACUCAUUUGCGCUGCGUUUGUCGGCUGAAGCUUCGUCGGCUGAACCUUCGUCACUGACGGGGCCUCCGGCUGAAGAUGUCUUCAUCCGGGGGGGUUUCAUUUGCUCUGUGGAAAGUGGGUCCACGGAUUUGAUGGAGGAAAACAUUUGUUCUGAAGCCCAAAAUCAAGGGAAUCAGGCGAUGGCUUUGGAUCUGUGCUUGACCGCGGAAGAGGUGCACGACGAGGAAACUUGGGACCUGAAACCUGGGCCGGAUGUCCAGAACGGGAGUGUCCUCCAUCCGAGCGACGAGGAGAGGACGACGGACGGUGACCGGCUCGACGGGACCGAUUGCCGCGAAGUGGCCUCAUUCGACUUUUCAGUCGAGGAUUUACACGCGUCUUCUCCUGAGGCCGGAUGGACUAGUGAGCAAACUGUGGAGACCAUUUCUCUCUCCAAGAUGGUGGUAGACGACUCGCUGCCAAUGGUCUCGGCUGUGAAUGCGAGGGAGGAAGACGCCUCCCCGCUAAAAGCUGUGUUCGAUGCUUUAGACCAAGACGGAGACGGCUUCGUCCGGAUUGAGGAGUUCAUGGAGUUUGCUGCCGCCUACGGGGCCGAUCAGGUGAGAUGCUAUCGGGUAAUGCAUUAA